rnacentral:rRNA from 1 species
UACAGAGGGUGCUAGCGUUGUUCGGAAUCAUUGGGCGUAAAGGGCGUGUAGGCGGUUUGUUAAGUCAUGUGUGAAAUCCCUCGGCUCAACCGGGGAACGACGCAUGAAACUGGCAAGCUAGAGUACCAAAGAGGGGGGUGGAAUUCCCGGUGUAGCGGUGAAAUGCGCAGAUAUCAGGAAGAACACCCGUGGCGAAGGCGGCUCUCUGGGACGGUACUGACGGCUGAGACGCGAAAGCGUGGGGAGCGAACAGG